GAUGAACGCUGGCGGCGUGCUUAACACAUGCAAGUCGAACGAUGAAGCCCAGCUUGCUGGGUGGAUUAGUGGCGAACGGGUGAGUAACACGUGAGUAACCUGCCCUUAACUCUGGGAUAAGCCUGGGAAACUGGGUCUAAUACCGGAUAGGAGCGCCUACCGCAUGGUGGGUGUUGGAAAGAUUUAUCGGUUUUGGAUGGACUCGCGGCCUAUCAGCUUGUUGGUGAGGUAAUGGCUCACCAAGGCGACGACGGGUAGCCGGCCUGAGAGGGUGACCGGCCACACUGGGACUGAGACACGGCCCAGACUCCUACGGGAGGCAGCAGUGGGGAAUAUUGCACAAUGGGCGAAAGCCUGAUGCAGCGACGCCGCGUGAGGGAUGACGGCCUUCGGGUUGUAAACCUCUUUCAGUAGGGAAGAAGCGAAAGUGACGGUACCUGGAGAAGAAGCACCGGCUAACUACGUG
rnacentral:rRNA from 1 species